AUUGAACGCUGGCGGAAUGCUUUACACAUGCAAGUCGAACGGCAGCACGGACUUCGGUCUGGUGGCGAGUGGCGAACGGGUGAGUAAUGUAUCGGAACGUGCCCAGUCGUGGGGGAUAACGUAGUGAAAAUUACGCUAAUACCGCAUACGAUCUAUGGAUGAAAGCGGGGGAUCGCAAGACCUCGCGCGAUUGGAGCGGCCGAUAUCAGAUUAGGUAGUUGGUGGGGUAAAGGCCCACCAAGCCAACGAUCUGUAGCUGGUCUGAGAGGACGACCAGCCACACUGGAACUGAGACACGGUCCAGACUCCUACGGGAGGCAGCAGUGGGGAAUUUUGGACAAUGGGCGAAAGCCUGAUCCAGCCAUUCCGCGUGCAGGAUGAAGGCCCUCGGGUUGUAGGCUGUUUUUGUACAGAACGAAAAGGUUUCUACUAAUACUAGGAGCUCAUGACGGUACUGUAAGAAUAAGCACCGGCUAACUACGUGCCAGCCGCCGCGGUAA
rnacentral:rRNA from 1 species